CCCUUAGAUGUUCUGGGCCGCACGCGCGCUACACUGAUGCAUUCAACGAGUUUCUUCCGGGUCCGAGAGGAAUGGGUAACCUUUUGAAAGUGCAUCGUGAUAGGGAUAGACUAUUGCAAUUAUUGGUCUUCAACGAGGAAUUCCUAGUAGACGUAGUUCAUCAGACUGCAUCGAUUACGUCCCUGCCCUUUGUACACACCGCCCGUCGCUCCUACCGAUUGAAUGCUCAGGUGAGCCAUUCGGACUUUCAUCAUGCUGGUUUCCAGUUUUGAUGAAGGAAAGUCUUGCGAACCUUAUCAUUUAGAGGAAGGAGAAGUCGUAACA
rnacentral:rRNA from 1 species